GAACUGGUUUAGUGGCGCACGGGUGCGUAACGCGUAUGCAACCUACCUUAAACUGGGGGAUAGCCCGAGGAAACUCGGAUUAAUACCGCAUAAUACUAUUUGAUGGCAUCUGAAGAUAGUUAAAGAUUUAUUGGUUUAAGAUGGGCAUGCGUGCCAUUAGCUAGUUGGAGAGGUAACGGCUCACCAAGGCAACGAUGGCUAGGGGUUCUGAGAGGAUGAUCCCCCACACUGGUACUGAGAUACGGACCAGACUCCUACGGGAGGCAGCAGUAGGGAAUAUUGGGCAAUGGACGGAAGUCUGACCCAGCCAUGCCGCGUGCAGGAAGACGGCCUUCUGGGUUGUAAACUGCUUUUAUAUAGGAAGAAAACACCCAUGCGUGGGAAACUGACGGUACUAUAUGAAUAAGCACCGGCUAACUCCGUGCCAGCAGCCGCGGUAAUACGGAGGGUGCAAGCGUUGUCCGGAUUUAUUGGGUUUAAAGGGUGCGUAGGCGGCCCGUUAAGUCCGUGGUGAAAGCCUCCAGCUCAACUGGAGAACUGCCAUGGAUACUGGCGGGCUUGAGUACAGACGAGGUUGGCGGAAUUGAAGAUGUAGCGGUGAAAUGCAUAGAUAUCUUCAAGAACACCGAUUGCGUAGGCAGCUAACUAGGCUGUAACUGACGCUGAGGCACGAAAGCGUGGGGAGCGAACAGGAUUAGAUACCCUGGUAGUCCACGCCGUAAACGAUGAUUACUCGAUGUUGGCGAUACACAGUCAGCGUCUUAGCGAAAGCGUUAAGUAAUCCACCUGGGGAGUACGCCC
rnacentral:rRNA from 1 species